rnacentral:rRNA from 1 species
UACGUAGGUGGCAAGCGUUGUCCGGAUUUAUUGGGUUUAAAGGGCGCGUAGGCGGCUUGGCAAGUGGAAGGUGAAAUCCCUCGGCUUAACCGAGGAACUGCCUUCCAGACUGCUUUGCUUGAGGCCGGGAGAGGCGAGUGGAAUUCCCAGUGUAGCGGUGAAAUGCGUAGAUAUUGGGAGGAACACCAGUGGCGAAGGCGGCUCGCUGGACCGGUUCUGACGCUGAGGCGCGAAAGCGUGGGGAGCAAACGGG